AAAAAUCUAUCAUCAGACACCCAGUAAGGUAAAUCUUUUGCCAGACACCCAGUAAGGGAAAUCUAUUAUCAGACACCCAGUAAGGUAAAUCUAUUAUCAGACACCCAGUAAGGUAAAUCUAUUAUUAGACACCCAGUAAGGUAAAUCUAUUAUCAGACACCCAGCAAGGUAAAUCUAUCAUCAGACAUCCAGUGAGGUAAAUCUAUUAUCAAACACUCAGUAAGGUAAAUCUAUUAUCAGAUACCCAGUAAGAGAAAUAUAUAAUCAGACCCCCAGUGAGGGAAAUCUAUUAUAAGACACCCAGCAAGGUAAAUCUAUUAUCAGACACCCAGUAAG